rnacentral:rRNA from 1 species
GACGAACGCUGGCGGCGUGCUUAACACAUGCAAGUCGAGCGGUAAGGCCCUUCGGGGUACACGAGCGGCGAACGGGUGAGUAACACGUGAGUAAUCUGCCCAUCACUUCGGGAUAACUCCGGGAAACCGGUGCUAAUACCGAAUAUGACCACUUCAGGCAUCUGAUGGUGGUGGAAAGUUCCGGCGGUGAUGGAUGAGCUCGCGGCCUAUCAGCUUGUUGGUGGGGUAGUGGCCUACCAAGGCUUCGACGGGUAGCCGGCCUGAGAGGGUGACCGGCCACACUGGGACUGAGACACGGCCCAGACUCCUACGGGAGGCAGCAGUGGGGAAUAUUGGACAAUGGGCGAAAGCCUGAUCCAGCAACGCCGCGUGAGGGAUGACGGCCUUCGGGUUGUAAACCUCUUUCAGCAGGGACGAAGCGCAAGUGACGGUACCUGCAGAAGAAGCACCGACCAACUACGUG